rnacentral:rRNA from 1 species
CCAGACUCCUACGGGAGGCAGCAGUGGGGAAUAUUGCACAAUGGGGGGAACCCUGAUGCAGCGACGCCGCGUGGGUGAAGGAGUAUUUCGGUAUGUAAAGCCCUAUCAGCAGGGAAGAACAAUGACGGUACCUGACUAAGAAGCACCGGCUAAAUACGUGCCAGCAGCCGCGGUAAUACGUAUGGUGCAAGCGUUAUCCGGAUUUACUGGGUGUAAAGGGAGCGCAGGCGGCGCGUUAAGCCUGGUGUGAAAGCCCGCGGCCCAACCGCGGGACUGCAUUGGGAACUGGCGCGCUGGAGUACCGGAGGGGUAGGCGGAAUUCCUGGUGUAGCGGUGAAAUGCGUAGAUAUCAGGAGGAACACCGGUGGCGAAGGCGGCCUGCUGGACUGCAACUGACGUUGAGGCCCGAAAGCGUGGGGAGCAAACAGGAUUAGAUACCCCCGUAAAG